GCCUGGAAUACGUUCUUAAAUAAAUGUGGACCACUUUAACGCACGUUUCUCACUUUAUGUUUUUUUGCUAAUGACUUAUGACUUGCUGUGUAUUUUAGAUAAUGCUAUGUAUAUUUAGACUAUGCUUUUUGUCUAAUGAUGUUAGACAAAAAGGAAAUUGGAGCAGUUUUCUUGUUUGAGUUCAAAAUGGGUCAUAAAGCAGCAGAGACAACUCAAAACAUCAGUAACACAUUUGGCCCAGAAACUAAGGAACAUACAGUGCAGUGGUGGCUCAAGAAGUUUUGCAAAGGAGAAGAGAGCCUUGAAGAGGAGGAGCCUGGUGGCGGGCAACCAGAAGCUGACGAUGACCAAUCGAGAGCAAUCAUCAAACUACAGGAAAAAUUUCAGAAGAACUCAGCAUUCACUAUCUACAGUCAUUUGGGUCGUUUGGAAUUUAAUGCAAAUUGGAAAGGUGAAAAAGCUUGAUAAGUGGGUGCCUCAUGAGCUGAGCAAAAAUCAAAAAUUUGUUCUUUUGAAGUGUCUUUUUAUCCCACGCAAGAAUAGCAAACCAUUUCUCAAUGGGAUUGUGACAUGCAAUGAAAAAUGGAUUUUAUACAGCAACCAGCUCAGUGGUUGGACCAAGAAGCAGCUCCAAAGCAGUUCCCAAUGCCAAACUUGCACCAAAAAAAAGGUCAUAGUCACUGUUUGGUAAUCUGCUGCCUGUCUGAUCCACUACGGCUUUCGGAAUCCUGGCAAAACCAUUACAUCUGAGAAAUAUGCUCAGCAAAUUGAUAAGAUGCACCGAAAACUACGCCUGCAGCUGGCAUUGGUCAACAGAAAGGGCCUAGUUUUUCUCCAUGACAACACUUGAUUGCAUGUCACACAACGAACACUUCAAAAGUUGAAGGAAUUGGGCCACAAAGUUUUGCCUCAUCCACCAUUAUACACCUGACCUCUGGCCAACCAGCUACCACUUCUGGCAUCUUGACAACUUUUUGCAGGGAAAACACUUCAGCAGGAUGCAGAAAAUGCUUUCCAAGAGUUCAUUGAAUCCUGAAGCAUGCAUUUUUAUGCUACAGGACAUGGUGUUAUUAUACAAAAUAAAAUAAAGUUAUGGGCUCUGCUCUGUUACCAGUUUCAGACCACUUCCACAAACAUUCCAUCUGUGCCUUUUCACCUCAACCUGUGGGAGAAGUUAGAAUGAUCUCCUGUAAUAGAAGAAGACACCAAAGCUCAGAGCAACUUAAGUAA